GACGAACGCUGGCGGCGUGCCUAAUACAUGCAAGUCGAACGCAGUGGGGACGGGUGAGUAACACGUGGGUAACCUCCCAUCAGAGGGGAUAACACUUGGAAACAGGUGCUAAACCGAUACUGAUGGAUGGACCCGCGGUUCAUUAGCUAGUUGGUGGGGUAAUGGCCUACCAAGCCGACGAUCUCUAGCUGGCCUGAGAGGAUGACCAGCCAAAUCGGGACUGAGACACGGCCCGGACUCCUACGGGAGGCAGCAGUGGGGAAUAUUGCGCAAUGGGGGCAACCCUGACGCAGCCAUGCCGCGUGAAUGAAGAAGGCCUUCGGGUUGUAAAGUUCUUUCGGUGACGAGGCGUUAAUCACAGAAGAAGCACCGGCUAACUCCGUGCCAGCAGCCGCGGUAAUAC
rnacentral:rRNA from 1 species